rnacentral:lncRNA from 1 species
GGCCUUUCUAGGAGCCAGCUUGCUUUCAUCUUACUGUUUUGAUUGUGCCUCACAAGGGACAACACUCCGAUUGUCUAGGAGGAGGAAGGUCAGGGACAGAAAAGUAAAAGCCAGGAGCAGCCUGUCCUGUCUGCCUGGGCUGCUGGGGAAUGAUUGUCAGUGAAUCGAGUUGUCUGUGGAGCCCCUGAGCAAAUUCUCCCAGUGGCAGCAGAUCUCGCAAAAGGGGAGGAAGGCCUUCACCGCUGAACCCGAGCUUUGCCAUUUCGAAGUGCUGAGUCACCUCGUCCUCUCAGGGUCAGACACUUUCACGCAGGAAACGUCCUGCAGAGCACCGCAGCGGGAGCACCGAGCUGAUGUGGAAACUCAGAGAGGAUGCCACUGUUUUGAACUAUUUUGAAGGCACAGCCACCAGAGCUUUAGGGACAGGGUAUUUUAUCACAGCAACAGAAAUGAAACCAAAACAACUCCACAAUAAAAUUCUUGAGUUUCUUGGGGCCAAGAAGAUGACACGAUAAGAUAAAGACACUGGCCAAGCAUGACCUCCAGAGUUUGGCCCUUGCAUAAAGGAGAAAAUUAAUUCCUUCAGUUGUUCUCUGACCUCCACAUGCGUCCUGUAACAUGGGUGUAUGCAUACACAUAAACACACAUCCACACGUUGUUAAAUAAAUAAAAAAAAUAUGUUAACA